rnacentral:rRNA from 1 species
GCAGUGGGGAAUUUUGGACAAUGGGCGCAAGCCUGAUCCAGCAAUGCCGCGUGAGUGAAGAAGGCCUUCGGGUUGUAAAGCUCUUUUGUCAGGGAAGAAACGGGCCUUUCUAAUACAGGGGCCUAAUGACGGUACCUGAAGAAUAAGCACCGGCUAACUACGUGCCAGCAGCCGCGGUAAUACGUAGGGUGCAAGCGUUAAUCGGAAUUACUGGGCGUAAAGCGUGCGCAGGCGGUUUUGUAAGACUGUCGUGAAAUCCCCGGGCUCAACCUGGGAAUGGCGAUGGUGACUGCAAGGCUAGAGUUUGGCAGAGGGGGGUAGAAUUCCACGUGUAGCAGUGAAAUGCGUAGAUAUGUGGAGGAACACCGAUGGCGAAGGCAGCCCCCUGGGUCAAAACUGACGCUCAUGCACGAAAGCGUGGGGAGCAAACAGGAUUAGA